CUAUCUACAGGCUUAACACAUGCAAGUCGAGGGGCAGCAUUUCAGUUUGCUUGCAAACUGGAGAUGGCGACCGGCGCACGGGUGAGUAACACGUAUCCAACCUGCCGAUAACUCGGGGAUAGCCUUUCGAAAGAAAGAUUAAUACCCGAUGGCAUAAUUAGACCGCAUGGUCUUAUUAUUAAAGAAUUUCGGUUAUCGAUGGGGAUGCGUUCCAUUAGGCAGUUGGUGAGGUAACGGCUCACCAAACCUUCGAUGGAUAGGGGUUCUGAGAGGAAGGUCCCCCACAUUGGAACUGAGACACGGUCCAAACUCCUACGGGAGGCAGCAGUGAGGAAUAUUGGUCAAUGGGCGCAGGCCUGAACCAGCCAAGUAGCGUGAAGGAUGACUGCCCUAUGGGUUGUAAACUUCUUUUAUAUGGGAAUAAAGUUUUCCACGUGUGGAAUUUUGUAUGUACCAUAUGAAUAAGGAUCGGCUAACUCCGUGCCAGCAGCCGCGGUAAUACGGAGGAUCCGAGCGUUAUCCGGAUUUAUUGGGUUUAAAGGGAGCGUAGGUGGACAGUUAAGUCAGUUGUGAAAGUUUGCGGCUCAACCGUAAAAUUGCAGUUGAUACUGGCUGUCUUGAGUACAGUAGAGGUGGGCGGAAUUCGUGGUGUAGCGGUGAAAUGCUUAGAUAUCACGAAGAACUCCGAUUGCGAAGGCAGCUCACUGGACUGCAACUGACACUGAUGCUCGAAAGUGUGGGUAUCAAACAGGAUUAGAUACCCUGGUAGUCCACACAGUAAACGAUGAAUACUCGCUGUUUGCGAUAUACAGUAAGCGGCCAAGCGAAAGCAUUAAGUAUUCCACCUGGGGAGUACGCCGGCAACGGUGAAACUCAAAGGAAUUGACGGGGGCCCGCACAAGCGGAGGAACAUGUGGUUUAAUUCGAUGAUACGCGAGGAACCUUACCCGGGCUUAAAUUGCAUUUGAAUAUAUUGGAAACAGUAUAGCCGUAAGGCAAAUGUGAAGGUGCUGCAUGGUUGUCGUCAGCUCGUGCCGUGAGGUGUCGGCUUAAGUGCCAUAACGAGCGCAACCCUUAUCUUUAGUUACUAACAGGUCAUGCUGAGGACUCUAGAGAGACUGCCGUCGUAAGAUGUGAGGAAGGUGGGGAUGACGUCAAAUCAGCACGGCCCUUACGUCCGGGGCUACACACGUGUUACAAUGGGGGGUACAGAAGGCAGCUACCUGGUGACAGGAUGCUAAUCCCAAAAGCCUCUCUCAGUUCGGAUCGAAGUCUGCAACCCGACUUCGUGAAGCUGGAUUCGCUAGUAAUCGCGCAUCAGCCAUGGCGCGGUGAAUACGUUCCCGGGCCUUGUACACACCGCCCGUCAAGCCAUGAAAGCCGGGGGUACCUGAAGUACGUAACCGCAAGGAGCGUCCUAGGGUAAAACUGGUAAUUGG
rnacentral:rRNA from 1 species